GUGCUCGCUUGGCAGCACAUAUACUAAAAUUGGAAUGAUACGGAGAGGAUUAGCAUGGCCCCUGCACAAGGAUGAAACGCAAAUUUGUGAAGGGUUCCGUAUUUAA